AUGAACAUCCUAGCCUGGAACUGUCGGGGACUGGGGGACCCGACAGUGGGCGAGUUACGGGACCUGGUUAGGUCAUACAACCCAGUGGUGAUCUUCUUGUCAGAAACAAAAAAGAACUCACGAGCUAUGGAGAGACUAAAGUGGAGCCUAGGGUUCAAACAUGGGGUUGCGGUUAAUUGCAAUGGCAAGAGUGGUGGUUUAGCUUUGUGGUGGAAGGAGUCG
rnacentral:rRNA from 1 species